rnacentral:siRNA from 1 species
UAGAUUUCGGAUUUUAUGCCCAGC